GAUGAACGCUGGCGGCGUGCUUAACACAUGCAAGUCGAGCGGAGAUAUGAAGGAGCUUGCUCUGGAUUAUCUUAGCGGCGGACGGGUGAGUAACGCGUGGGCAAUCUGCCUUAUACAGGGGAAUAACCGCGGGAAACCGCGACUAAUACCUCAUGUCAUCACCGGGAGGCAUCUUCUGGUGAAAAAAGGAGCAAUCCGGUAUAAGAGGAGCCCGCGUCUGAUUAGCUAGUUGGUGGGGUAACGGCCUACCAAGGCGACGAUCAGUAGCCGACCUGAGAGGGUGAUCGGCCACAUUGGGACUGAGACACGGCCCAAACUCCUACGGGAGGCAGCAGUGGGGAAUAUUGCACAAUGGGCGCAAGCCUGAUGCAGCAACGCCGCGUGAAGGAAGAAGGUUUUCGGAUUGUAAACUUCUAUCAUCAGGGACGAAAAAAAUGACGGUACCCGAAUAAGAAGCCCCGGCUAACUACGUGCCAGCAGCCGCGGUAAUACGUAGGGGGCAAGCGUUAUCCGGAAUUACUGGGUGUAAAGGGUGAGUAGGCGGCAUGGUAAGUUAGAUGUGAAAGCCCGGGGCUCAACUCCGGGAUUGCAUUUAAAACUACUAAGCUAGAGUACAGGAGAGGUAAGCGGAAUUCCUAGUGUAGCGGUGAAAUGCGUAGAUAUUAGGAAGAACACCGGUGGCGAAGGCGGCUUACUGGACUGAAACUGACGCUGAGGCACGAAAGCGUGGGGAGCAAACAGGAUUAGAUACCCUGGUAGUCCACGCUGUAAACGAUGAGUGCUAGGUGUUGGGGGGGAACCCUCAGUGCCGCAGCUAACGCAAUAAGCACUCCACCUGGGGAGUACGGCCGCAAGGUUGAAACUCAA
rnacentral:rRNA from 1 species